rnacentral:rRNA from 1 species
GCUUGCUUCUCUUGAGAGCGGCGGACGGGUGAGUAAUGCCUAGGAAUCUGCCUGGUAGUGGGGGAUAACGUCCGGAAACGGACGCUAAUACCGCAUACGUCCUACGGGAGAAAGCAGGGGACCUUCGGGCCUUGCGCUAUCAGAUGAGCCUAGGUCGGAUUAGCUAGUUGGUGGGGUAAUGGCUCACCAAGGCGACGAUCCGUAACUGGUCUGAGAGGAUGAUCAGUCACACUGGAACUGAGACACGGUCCAGACUCCUACGGGAGGCAGCAGUGGGGAAUAUUGGACAAUGGGCGAAAGCCUGAUCCAGCCAUGCCGCGUGUGUGAAGAAGGUCUUCGGAUUGUAAAGCACUUUAAGUUGGGAGGAAGGGCAGUAAAUUAAUACUUUGCUGUUUUGACGUUACCGACAGAAUAAGCACCGGCUAACUCUGUGCCAGCAGCCGCGGUAAUACAGAGGGUGCAAGCGUUAAUCGGAAUUACUGGGCGUAAAGCGCGCGUAGGUGGUUCGUUAAGUUGGAUGUGAAAUCCCCGGGCUCAACCUGGGAACUGCAUUCAAAACUGACGAGCUAGAGUAUGGUAGAGGGUGGUGGAAUUUCCUGUGUAGCGGUGAAAUGCGUAGAUAUAGGAAGGAACACCAGUGGCGAAGGCGACCACCUGGACUGAUACUGACACUGAGGUGCGAAAGCGUGGGGAGCAAAC